rfam:Loxodonta africana cont3.327, whole genome shotgun sequence.
CUUACCAUGUGCUAAGUAACCACUGGAUCCCGAAGGAGACUGAUGGGUUAAUACACUGGGGUGGGGGAGUGGGGAGGACAUAAGGGACCAGGACCUCAGUGAGGCCCCAGAAUGCUCACAGGAGGGGCCUCCGAUCCCGACUGCGGAGGGAGGGGCCAAAGAAGGAUUCCUGGAAGAAGGAGGACCUAAGCUGAGUGUUUCUAUUUUUAAUUUUUACUGGUUUCCUAAAACAUAAAAAG